rnacentral:sRNA from 1 species
GCUGCUGAAGGAGAUGCUGCUGCUGCUGCUGCUGGUGCUGAUGCUGCUGUGACGGCGUCUGCUGCUGCUGCUGCUGCUGCUGCUGCUGC